rnacentral:rRNA from 1 species
GACGAACGCUGGUGGCGUGCCUAAUACAUGCAAGUAGAACGCUGAAGAGAGGAGCUUGCUCUUCUUGGAUGAGUUGCGAACGGGUGAGUAACGCGUAGGUAACCUGCCUUGUAGCGGGGGAUAACUAUUGGAAACGAUAGCUAAUACCGCAUAACAAUGGAUGACACAUGUCAUUUAUUUGAAAGGGGCAAUUGCUCCACUACAAGAUGGACCUGCGUUGUAUUAGCUAGUAGGUGAGGUAAUGGCUCACCUAGGCGACGAUACAUAGCCGACCUGAGAGGGUGAUCGGCCACACUGGGACUGAGACACGGCCCAGACUCCUACGGGAGGCAGCAGUAGGGAAUCUUCGGCAAUGGGGGCAACCCUGACCGAGCAACGCCGCGUGAGUGAAGAAGGUUUUCGGAUCGUAAAGCUCUGUUGUAAGUCAAGAACGGGUGUGAGAGUGGAAAGUUCACACUGUGACGGUAGCUUACCAGAAAGGGACGGCUAACUACGUGCCAGCAGCCGCGGUAAUACGUAGGUCCCGAGCGUUGUCCGGAUUUAUUGGGCGUAAAGCGAGCGCAGGCGGUUUGAUAAGUCUGAAGUUAAAGGCUGUGGCUCAACCAUAGUUCGCUUUGGAAACUGUCAAUCUUGAGUGCAGAAGGGGAGAGUGGAAUUCCAUGUGUAGCGGUGAAAUGCGUAGAUAUAUGGAGGAACACCGGUGGCGAAAGCGGCUCUCUGGUCUGUAACUGACGCUGAGGCUCGAAAGCGUGGGGAGCGAACAGGAUUAGAUACCCUGGUAGUCCACGCCGUAAACGAUGAGUGCUAGGUGUUGGAUCCUUUCCGGGAUUCAGUGCCGCAGCUAACGCAUUAAGCACUCCGCCUGGGGAGUACGACCGCAAGGUUGAAACUCAAAGGAGUUGACGGGGGCCCGCACAAGCGGUGGAGCAUGUGGUUUAAUUCGAAGCAACGCGAAGAACCUUACCAGGUCUUGACAUCCCGAUGCUAUUUCUAGAGAUAGAAAGUUACUUCGGUACAUCGGUGACAGGUGGUGCAUGGUUGUCGUCAGCUCGUGUCGUGAGAUGUUGGGUUAAGUCCCGCAACGAGCGCAACCCCUAUUGUUAGUUGCCAUCAUUCAGUUGGGCACUCUAGCGAGACUGCCGGUAAUAAACCGGAGGAAGGUGGGGAUGACGUCAAAUCAUCAUGCCCCUUAUGACCUGGGCUACACACGUGCUACAAUGGUUGGUACAACGAGUUGCGAGUCGGUGACGGCGAGCUAAUCUCUUAAAGCCAAUCUCAGUUCGGAUUGUAGGCUGCAACUCGCCUACAUGAAGUCGGUAUCGCUAGUAAUCGCGGAUCAGCACGCCGCGGUGAAUACGUUCCCGGGCCU